AAUGCGGACUGCAGGAAGACAGGACUUCUGUCUGGCUCUGUUCACCACUGUAUCCCCAGCACCCCGAAGACUCUCAAUCAACAGUCUGUCAAUGAAUGGGUGAAAGGCUGCCCCUUGGGAAGUCUCGGCCGGAGAGCGCCUGUUCUGCCUUCUGACUCUCCAGCAUCCUCCCCGGCGGCUGAGGAGAGGCCAAACGAGGAGGAAACAGAUUCAGACAGCAGAUGUAACUUGGACACAAUCACAGCAGCAGGCCUGUAGGUGCCUCUUGGCUGACAUGGCAAAGGAGACAUUCAAGACCCUAACUUGGAUCCAGGAAAUGAAGAGAUGCACAGGUGUGUAGACUUUAGGGAGGCCAGGCCCAAAGCAGGGACCCCAGGUCAUCACGCCCUCCAGCACCCAGAUGCCAGCUUGGGAGCAGAGCCAUCGGACACCUGUGCAAGAGAGAGAAGGAGCAGUCACAGCCCAGCCUGGACCCACUGAAACCCCCUCCCCAGGGGAGCAAAGACACUUGACCGGGGGAAGGGGGCCGUGGCAAGCAGUGUUCACACAUCUGACAGGAGAGGCUGGGGAGGCCGGAUGGGUCGGGGGCCUGAGUGC